rnacentral:rRNA from 1 species
GAUGAACGCUGGCGGCGUGCCUAAUACAUGCAAGUCGAGCGAACAGACGAGGAGUUUGUUCCUCUGACGUUAGCGGCGGACGGGUGUGUAACACGUGGAUAACCUACUUAUCAGACUGGGAUAACUUGGGGACACCGGCGCUAAUACCGGAUAAUAUAUUGCACCGCAUUGUUCAAUGGUGAAUGACGGUUUUGCUGUCACUUAUAGAUGGAUCCGCGCCGCAUUAGCUAGUCGGUACGGUAACGGCUUACGAAGGCAACGAUGCGUAGCCGAGCUGAGAGGGUGAUCGGCCACCCUGGAACGGGGACACGGACAAUACGCCUACGGGAGGCAGCAGUAGGGAACCGGCCGCAAUGGUCGAAAGCUUGACGGAGCAACGCCGCGUGAGAGAUGACGGUCCUCCGAGCGUAAAACUCUGUUAUUAGUGAAGAACAGAUUUGUAAGGAAACAUACACGUCUUGACGGUACCGAAUAAGAAAGCAACGGCUAACUACGUG